AUUGAACGCUGGCGGCAGGCCUAACACAUGCAAGUCGAGCGGCAGCACUUCGGGUGGCGAGCGGCGAACGGGUGAGUAAUACAUGGGAAUCUGCCUGGUAGUGGGGGAUAACUCUGGGAAACUAGAGGUAAUACCGCAUACGCCCUACGGGGAAAGCGGGGAUCUUCGGACCUCGCGCUAUCAGAGGAGCCCAUGUCCGAUUAGCUAGUUGGUGAGGUAAAGGCUCACCAAGGCGACGAUCGGUAACUGGUCUGAGAGGAUGGUCAGUCACACUGGAACUGAGACACGGUCCAGACUCCUACGGGAGGCAGCAGUGGGGAAUAUUGGACAAUGGGGGGCAACCCUGAUCCAGCCAUGCCGCGUGUGUGAAGAAGGCCUCGGUUGUAAG
rnacentral:rRNA from 1 species